AUAUUUUCUAUCAUCACAGACUGACUUGUUGUCGGCUCUCAUGGACUGACUGUGAAGUUGUGGCCUCAGCUCUGAAGUCCAACCCCUCCCAUCUGACAGAGCUGGACAUGAGUAAAAACAGCCUGCAGGAUUCAGGAGUGAAGCUUCUGUGUGCUGGACUGGAGAGUCCAAACUGUCGACUGGAGACUCUAAGAUUGGAGCGCUGUGGUUUGUCAGAGAUCAGCUGUGAUUAUCUGGCAGCAGCACUGAAGUCCAACCCCUCCCAUCUGAGAGAGCUGGACCUGAGCUUGAACAAGCUGCAGGAUUCAGGAGUGACGCAGCUGUGUGGUUUUUCUGGAGAGUCCAGGAUGUAAACUUGAAACUCUGAGAUUGGAGCGCUGUAGUUUGUCAGAGAUCAGCUGUGAUUAUCUGGCAGCAGCACUGAAGUCCAACCCCUCCCAUCUGAGAGAGCUGGACCUGAGAGGAAACAACCUGAACCUGCAGGAUCCAGAUGUGAAGCAGCUGUCUGAUCUUGAGAAUAGUCCAAACUACAGACUGGAGAGUCUGGUGUGGAGCUGAUGAUCGUAAACAGGACGGUGUGUGUGCUGAGAGAGGAGCAGCUGUGUCCUGAUGAUCCAGAGAGGUUGAAGCAGCAGCAGCUUGUGUGUAGAGACGCUCUGACUGGGCCAUGUUACUGGGAGGUGGAGAGGAGAGCUUCAUCCAGCAGUGACUGACAGAGGAAUGAAGUGCAGAUGACUGUCAGUGCUGCAGAGUGAACUGCUCUGAGAACAGCUCCACUGUCAGACACAAUGUAGAGUCCAGCAUCAUCCCUGUGUGUCCCUCUGGAUCUGACAGAGGAUCAUCAGUGGAUCUGGACUGCUCUGCUGCUGCUCUGUCCUUCUACAGUCUCUGCACAGACUCUGUCUGACUCUGGCUUCAGACCCUCCUGGAUCAAACUCACCUGUAAAGGCUUUAAACACUUUUGAAUAAUAAACAUCAAGUUUUUAUAAGAUAAAUAUCAUGUUUUCAUGUGUCUGUGCAGUUUGAGGUUUGAGCCUCAGUGGAUGAAUCAGUGCUUAAUGUUUAAUGUGGAUACUAAUGAUCAAUAAAUGUGCUGAUUGGAAUCAAAGGAAUGACUCGGACUG